GUGUCAGCCGCCGCGGUACUACGGAGGGUGCAAGCGUUAAUCGGAAUUACUGGGCGUAAAGCGCGCGUAGGCGGACUGGUCAGUCAGGGGUGAAAUCCCGGGGCUUAACCUCGGAACUGCCUUUGAUACUGCCAGUCUCGAGUCCGGAAGAGGUGAGUGGAAUUCCUAGUGUAGAGGUGAAAUUCGUAGAUAUUAGGAAGAACACCGGUGGCGAAGGCGGCUCACUGGUCCGGUACUGACGCUGAGGCGCGAAAGCGUGGGGAGCAAACAGGAUUAGAUCCCCUGGUAGUCCACGCCGUAAACGAUGGAUGCUAGCCGUUGGACAGCAUGCUGUUCAGUGGCGCAGCUAACGCAUUAAGCAUCCCGCCUGGGGAGUACGGCCGCAAGGUUAAAACUUAAAGGAAUUGACGGGG
rnacentral:rRNA from 1 species